rnacentral:rRNA from 1 species
AAUGAACGCUGGCGGCGCGCCUAAUACAUGCAAGUCGAGCGAGAAGACGUAGCAAUACGUUUGUAAAGCGGCGAACGGGUGAGGAAUACAUGGGUAACCUACCCUCGAGUGGGGAAUAACUAGCCGAAAGGUUAGCUAAUACCGCGUACGCUCCUUGGACUUCGGUUCAGGGAGGAAAGCGAUACCGUGGGUAUCGCGCUCUUGGUUGGGCUCAUGUCCUAUCAGCUUGUUGGUGAGGUAACGGCUCACCAAGGCUUCGACGGGUAGCUGGUCUGAGAGGACGAUCAGCCACACUGGCACUGCGACACGGGCCAGACUCCUACGGGAGGCAGCAGUAAGGAAUAUUGCGCAAUGGGCGAAAGCCUGGCGCAGCGACGCCGCGUGGGGGAUGAAGGUCUUCGGAUU